rnacentral:rRNA from 1 species
AGUGGGGAAUAUUGCACAAUGGGGGAAACCCUGAUGAAGCAAUGCCGCGUGUGUGAAGAAGGCCUUAGGGUUGUAAAGCACUUUCAGUGGGGAAGAAGGCGUCAUGUUUAAUCUGCAUGUCAUUGACGUUACCCUAUCAAAAAGCACCGGCUAACUACGUGCCAGCAGCAGC